AUUGAACGUUGGCGGCAUGCUUUACACAUGCAAGUCGAACGGUAACAGGCCGCAAGGUGCUGACGAGUGGCGAACGGGUGAGUAAUGCAUCGGAACGUGCCCAGUCGUGGGGGAUAACGCAGCGAAAGCUGCGCUAAUACCGCAUACGAUCUAUGGAUGAAAGCGGGGGACCGUAAGGCCUCGCGCGAUUGGAGCGGCCGGUGUCAGAUUAGGUAGUUGGUGGGGUAGAGGCUCACCGAGGCAACGAUCUGUAGCUGGUCUGAGAGGACGACCAGCCACACUGGGACUGAGACACGGCCCAGACUCCUACGGGAGGCAGCAGUGGGGAAUUUUGGACAAUGGGCGCAAGCCUGAUCCAGCAAUGCCACGUGCAGGAAGAAGGCCUUCGGGUUGUAAACUGCUUUUGUACGGAACGAAACGGUCCUGGUUAAUACCUGGGGCUAAUGACGGUACCGUAAGAAUAAGCACCGGCUAACUACGUGCCAGCAGCCGCGGUAAAAC
rnacentral:rRNA from 1 species